CCACAAAAUGAUGUCUGAGUCUGAGGGGAUUCCUAGGGGAUUGUUAGAUCCUGUUUCAUGAAGGAAAAGGAGAUGGACUAUGGCUAUAGCUGCAAUGACGAACAGGAGAAUGAAGUAGAAUGC